GGGAGGAGAACCUCACAGACACACCGAGGUUCUACUGGAAGGCUGAGCAGGAUUUCAGAGCAAUUUUCUAGUCAAGACAUUGCAUCCCAUGCUUCAAGAUGAAACCUGUGGGCUGAACCCAAUCCACUCAGCCUGAGAUAAGGAGAGAACAGACCUCACUUACAUGACCUAGUGUCCACCACCUCCUCUAAGUCACACUGGGAAGAAGGAACCCCUUCCUUGUCGGUAUACAAGAAGAGAAUCAGCCCCACUGGAGUUACUGCUGAUUUACAAUAGGGCAAGAAUCCAUCUGGGAGCUUGGCUGGGCUGAUGAGGGAAGUGAUAAAGCAAAGCAGGUGGG